GCGGGCGUAGCUCAGUUGGUAGAGCGCAACCUUGCCAAGGUUGAGGUCGCGAGUUCGAGACUCGUUGCCCGCUCCA
rnacentral:tRNA from 1 species